UUAAAUUGAAGAGUUUGAUCAUGGCUCAGAUUGAACGCUGGCGGCAGGCCUAACACAUGCAAGUCGAACGGUAACAGGAAGCAGCUUGCUGUUUUGCUGACGAGUGG
rnacentral:rRNA from 1 species